UACGAAGGGGGCUAGCGUUGCUCGGAAUUACUGGGCGUAAAGCGCACGUAGGCGGAUUGUUAGGUCAGGGGUGAAAUCCUGGAGCUCAACUCCAGAACUGCCUUUGAUACUGGCGAUCUCGAGUCCGGGAGAGGUGAGUGGAACUGCGAGUGUAGAGGUGAAAUUCGUAGAUAUUCGCAAGAACACCAGUGGCGAAGGCGGCUCACUGGCCCGGUACUGACGCUGAGGUGCGAAAGCGUGGGGAGCAAACAGG
rnacentral:rRNA from 1 species